AUUCAACGCUGGCGGCAUGCCUUACACAUGCACGUCAAACGGUAACAGGUUAAGCUGACGAGUGGCGAACGGGUGAGUAAUAUAUCGGAACGUGCCCAGUCGUGGGGGAUAACUGCUCGAAAGAGCAGCUAAUACCGCAUACGACCUGAGGGUGAAAGCGGGGGAUCGCAAGACCUCGCGCGAUUCGAGCGGCCGAUAUCAGAUUAGGUAGUUGGUGGGGUAAAGGCUCACCAAGCCAACGAUCUGUAGCUGGUCUGAGAGUACGACGAGCCACACUGGGACGGGGACACGGCCAAGAGUGCGACGGGAGGAAGCAGUGGGGAAUUUUGGACAAUGGGCGCAAGCCUGAACCAGCCAUGCCGAGUGCGGGAAGAAGGCCGUCGGGUUGUAAACCGCUUUUGUCAGGGAAGAAAAGGCUUCUGCUAAUACCGGAGGCUGAUGACGGUACCUGAAGAAUAAGCACCGGCUAACUACGUGCCAGCAGCCGCAGUAACAC
rnacentral:rRNA from 1 species